rnacentral:rRNA from 1 species
UACGAGUGCCUCAAGCGUUAUCCGGAAUUACUGGGCGUAAAGGGCGCGUAGGCGGCGUGUCAAGUCAGGCGUGAAAGCCCCGGGCUCAACCUGGGAACCGCGCUUGAGACUGGCAUGCUCGAGUUCGGGAGAGGAUGGUGGAAUUCCCAGUGUAGAGGUGAAAUUCGUAGAUAUUGGGAAGAACACCGAUGGCGAAGGCAGCCAUCUGGACCGACACUGACGCUGAGGCGCGAAAGCGUGGGGAGCAAACAGG